CCUCCCUCCACACCUCCCUGCAAGCAGAGGGAGCUGGCUCCGGCCUCGGCCAGCCCAAUGAGGGGCUCCCACAGUGCAGCGCGGGGCUGAAGGGCUCCUCAAGCGCUGCCAGAGUGGGCGCAAAGGCCAAGGAGGCGCCGAGAGCAAGGAGCAAGCGAGGGCUGAGGGCUGCCAGCAAGCUGUCACCUCUCAAAGCAGUGUGAUGGAGGCAGCAAAAUGUGUGGAACCGUCAUUAUGAAGAAGGCAAUGCUCUCCUGCACCAGGGAGCUCUUCACCCCACAACUACAGAGCUCCUGUCUUCCAAGGUUCCCGAACUGUUCUGGGAAGUGCUCCUAAUCACCUGAGGUUUACAUACAAACAACCCCAGGACAUUUCAUUUAGCUACCAAUGUCAUGAUUACCAAAAAUUAAUUAACAAUAUGGUGGUCGUCAUCACAUCUGAGUCACCAAAUCAAAAUUCAGGACACAUUUCCAUGCAAAGUGCAGCCUUCUUCUUACGUUUCAUAAUUGUCAUUUCAAAUGAGAUCUUGGUUGGAAACAAUUGCUUAACUGUUUCAAGGUAUACUGGGUUAUCACUAACUCAUUUCUGUAAAGCAGAAUACAAGACCUCAACCUGUUAGAGAUCCUUUGUUGAUUAACAAGCUGAUUAAUAAGCUGAUUGUUCUCCUGAUUUAAGGCCUAUACCAAAAUUCUUGAAGCUCAAUUUGCACCACAGAGUACGCCAAUAUGUUUGAGUGAACUGGCUCUGGCUCUCCGAAGCUGUUUUGUAAAGACAAGAGACUAUAAGCCAUGGUGAGUAGUUAUACAUGAAGAACCUCAAUUAAUGCCUUACAUAUGGCAUGAGGAGACUAGAAAUUUUCUUGUUAAUGGGGCAGGGGUAUAAUAAUAAAUAUCUUGGCAAAUGAGAAGGGUCAAACUGUUUAUGGUUAAGAACACAAAUUUUGAGCCAAAAUACAUGGAUUUGAAUCCCUGCUAUACCCCAUUAUUAGCUAUGUGACUUCAGGCAAGUUAUUUAAGGUUGCUGUGCCACAUUUCCAUCCACCUGUAAAAUGGGGAUAAUAUUUAUAGAAGUUAAAAACUAGCUAGCACUUGUUAAAGUGUUAUCUAACACAUUUAUGAAGAAAUCAGCAGAAAGAUAAAGUAGCUGGAAAGGAAGAUUUAAGUCGAAUUGCAAAUUGCAUGUAGUGUUCACUAGGUUAACUUUCAACAGAGCUAUAAAACCAUAUCACCUUUAGAGUUAAUAUAUCUCCAUGGCUAUCAAAUUAUAAAAACUCUUUAAUUUCUGCACGUCAAUCUCUUGACCUCAAAGGACCAUAAACCAUCCACACACUUUUCAGUUGUUGAUUGUUAGCCAAGCAAAGUUACAUUCUCAGCAUGUGUCAGAUGAUGCUCAAAUGGGCUUAUUGGAAAAUGACCUAGCAUGACAUUUUAAAAAUCAAGCAAUAAUCAUUUAUCUCAUCUCUAAAUUUAGGAUAAAUAUUUUUAGUAGCCUUGCCAUGAUUUUCAUGCCAAUUUAUAUUUGUAAAGCACUUUGAAAAGUGUCUGGCACAAGGUUAAGUAAAAUACUCAGUAAUUAGGCAGUAGUAAAAAGAUAUGGCCUAUAGAAUCUGUACUAUUUUAAAAGAGCUUACGUCAUUUGUCUGAAAUAAUUUUUAAGGAUGCCACAGGAAUGGUUUGGUUGUAGACCCCACUCCAUAAAUCAAGUUUCCCUGAGGGAAAAAAUUAAGCAACAGAAUAGAAGACAGAAAUAGAGAAAAGAACUACUCAAAACGAAUUUGAAUGCCGUAAUAGGAUAAUCAUUUAUAUUUGGAGACAAAAAUGCUAAGAGUUAUAUUAGAAUAUUCCAGAGAGACAGA
rnacentral:lncRNA from 10 species